AUUGAACGCUGGCGGCAGGCCUAACACAUGCAAGUCGAGCGAGCGGCGGACGGGUGAGUAAUGUCUGGGAAACUGCCUGAUGGAGGGGGAUAACUAAUGGAAAAGGUAGCUAAUACCGCAUACCAUCAGAUGUGCCCAGAUGGGAUUAGCUAGUAGGUGGGGUAACGGCUAACCUAGGCGACGAUCCCUAGCUGGUCUGAGAGGAUGAACAGCCACACUGGAACUGAGACACGUUCCGGACUCCUACGGUAGGUAGCAGUGGGGAAUAUUGCACAUUGGGCGCAAGCCUGCUGCAGCCAUGCCGCGUGUGUGCAGAAGGCCUUCGGGUUGUAAAGCACUUUCAGCGGGGAGGCGUUACCCGCAGAAGAAGCACCGGCUAACUCCGUGCCAGCAGCCGCGGUAAUUC
rnacentral:rRNA from 1 species